UACGUAGGGGGCAAGCGUUGUCCGGAUUUAUUGGGUUUAAAGGGUGCGUAGGCGGGUUGAUAAGUCAGUGGUGAAAGCCCAACGCUUAACGUUGGAACUGCCAUUGAUACUGUCGAUCUUGAAUGUGUUUGAUGUGGGCGGAAUAUGACAUGUAGCGGUGAAAUGCUUAGAUAUGUCAUAGAACACCGAUUGCGAAGGCAGCUCACAAAGCCACUAUUGACGCUGAGGCACGAAAGCGUGGGGAGCAAACAGG
rnacentral:rRNA from 1 species